CACGUAGGGGGCAAGCGUUGUCCGGAUUUAUUGGGCGUAAAGAGCUCGUAGGCGGUUUGUCGCGUCUGCUGUGAAAUCCCGAGGCUCAACCUCGGGCCUGCAGUGGGUACGGGCAGACUAGAGUGCGGUAGGGGAGAUUGGAAUUCCUGGUGUAGCGGUGGAAUGCGCAGAUAUCAGGAGGAACACCGAUGGCGAAGGCAGAUCUCUGGGCCGUAACUGACGCUGAGGAGCGAAAGCGUGGGGAGCGAACAGG
rnacentral:rRNA from 1 species